CAGUAGCCGCGGUAACACGUAGGUGGCAAGCGUUAUCCGGAAUUAUUGGGCGUAAAGCGCGCGUAGGCGGUUUUUUAAGUCUGAUGUGAAAGCCCACGGCUCUACCGUGGAGGGUCAUUGGAAACUGGAAAACUUGAGUGCAGAAGAGGAAAGUGGAAUUCCAUGUGUAGCGGUGAAAUGCGCAGAGAUAUGGAGGAACACCAGUGGCGAAGGCGACUUUCUGGUCUGUAACUGACGCUGAUGUGCGAAAGCGUGGGGAUCAAACAGGAUUAGAUACCCCGGUAGUCCCUGUCUCUUAUAC
rnacentral:rRNA from 1 species